GGAGAAUCAGGUUGGGCUGGGGUUAGGUGAGGACAGGUUUGGAGGGAGUUAGAAACGACCAGGUAAGGGGAAUUAAGGGGAGAUGAGUCAUGGAGAAUCAGGUUGGGCUGGGGUUAGGUGAGGAGGGAGUUAGAAACGACCAGGUAAGGGGAAUUAAGGGGAGAUGAGUCAUGGAGAAUCAGGUUGGGCUGGGGUUAGGUGAGGACAGGUUUGGAGGGAGUUAGAAACGACCAGGUAAGGGGAAUUAAGGGGAGAUGAGUCAUGGAGAAUCAGGUUGGGCUGGGGUUAGGUGAGGAGGGAGUUAGAAACGACCAGGUAAGGGGAAUUAAGGGGAGAUGAGUCAUGGAGAAUCAGGUUGGGCUGGGGUUAGGUGAGGAGGGAGUGAAUCAGGUUGGGCUGGGGUUAGGUGAGAAGGGAGUUAGAAACGACCAGGUAAGGGGAAUUAAGGGGAGAUGAGUCAUGGAGAAUCAGGUUGGGCUGGGGUUAGGUGAGGACAGG